rnacentral:antisense_RNA from 1 species
AGCUCAGACAGAAGAGGCGACGUUGCUUUCUUAACCACUGGAUUUGCAGUGCUGUGGUUCUCAGAAGAGGCCAGGACAGGUUAAUCCACUCGCUUGGGAGAUUGAAUGUACAGCUGGUAUAAAAAUGGUGCUUUGUCAUCAUGAAGAAGGUGUAUUCUGGGAUCAAACCACCUGGCUGGAGAUGCUUACUAACCUCAGUUUCUUCAUCUGACCUUAUCUUUCUAAAAGAAUAAGAAGAAGAUGAUACAUAUUCCUCUAAAGUCCCAACAGAAACCUUUUCCCCUCACUCCCUCCCCAGAGAUGUGUAUCAUUUCCAUGAGUGUCUGUACUUUUACAACAUGUGCAUAUUAAUAAACAAAAUAUGACAAA